rnacentral:rRNA from 1 species
GAUGAACGCUGGCGGCGUGCCUAAUACAUGCAAGUCGAGCGAACGGACGAGAAGCUUGCUUCUCUGAUGUUAGCGGCGGACGGGUGAGUAACACGUGGAUAACCUACCUAUAAGACUGGGAUAACUUCGGGAAACCGGAGCUAAUACCGGAUGAUAUUUUGAACCGCAUGGUUCAAAAGUGAAAGACGGUCUUGCUGUCACUUAUAGAUGGAUCCGCGCUGCAUUAGCUAGUUGGUAAGGUAACGGCUUACCAAGGCAACGAUGCAUAGCCGACCUGAGAGGGUGAUCGGCCACACUGGAACUGAGACACGGUCCAGACUCCUACGGGAGGCAGCAGUAGGGAAUCUUCCGCAAUGGGCGAAAGCCUGACGGAGCAACGCCGCGUGAGUGAUGAAGGUCUUCGGAUCGUAAAACUCUGCUAUUAGGGAAGAACAUAUGUGUAAGUAACUGUGCACAUCUUGACGGUACCUAAUCAGAAAGCCACGGCUAACUACGUG